CUGGGUUUCCUCUGUGUCCUGUUUCAGAGCCUGCCCAGCACAGCUUUGAGGUGACAUGGUUCGUUCUUAGCUCUUCACCUCAACAGCAGUUCCACUGCUGUACAGACUGGAAAUCCUUAGCCCCAUGGAGACAGGAUUUGUCAAGCCUCAUGGAAGCAAUAACAUUAUCUGACAACAUGGAUUGCUACCAGUCAUCUGGACUGCUGUAUCCCAUGAUACAGAGCGUCUUUCACAUGCCUGAAGAGGAAACAAAUAAAUCACUGCAAAUUGUGAUGUGA